UACGUAGGGCGCAAGCGUUGUCCGGAAUUAUUGGGCGUAAAGAGCUCGUAGGCGGCUUGUCACGUCGAUUGUGAAAGCCCGGGGCUUAACUCCGGGUCUGCAGUCGAUACGGGCUAGCUAGAGUGUGGUAGAGGAGAUCGGAAUUCCUGGUGUAGCGGUGAAAUGCGCAGAUAUCAGGAGGAACACCGGUGGCGAAGGCGGAUCUCUGGGCCAUUACUGACGCUGAGGAGCGAAAGCGUGGGGAGCGAACAGG
rnacentral:rRNA from 1 species